AGAGUUUGAUCCUGGCUCAGGAUGAACGCUAGCUACAGGCUUAACACAUGCAAGUCGAGGGGCAGCAUGAAGUCAGCUUGCUGACUUUGAUGGCGACCGGCGCACGGGUGAGUAACGCGUAUCCAACCUUCCCCUUAGUAGGGCAUAGCCCGUAGAAAUGCGGAUUAAUACCCUAUGUUCUUCGUCGAAGACAUCUGAAGUGAAGCAAAGAUUCAUCGCUAAGGGAUGGGGAUGCGUCUGAUUAGGCCGCAGGCGGGGUAACGGCCCACCUGGCCGACGAUCAGUAGGGGUUCUGAGAGGAAGGUCCCCCACAUUGGAACUGAGACACGGUCCAAACUCCUACGGGAGGCAGCAGUGAGGAAUAUUGGUCAAUGGUCGAGAGACUGAACCAGCCAAGUAGCGUGCAGGAUGACGGCCCUAUGGGUUGUAAACUGCUUUUAUGCGGGGAUAAAGUGAGGGACGUGUCCCUUUUUGUAGGUACCGCAUGAAUAAGGACCGGCUAAUUCCGUGCCAGCAGCCGCGGUAAUACGGAAGGUCCGGGCGUUAUCCGGAUUUAUUGGGUUUAAAGGGAGCGCAGGCUGAUUGUUAAGCGUGACGUGAAAUGUAGCCGCUCAACGGCUGAACUGCGUCGCGAACUGGCAGUCUUGAGUGAGUACGACGUCAGCGGAAUUCGUGGUGUAGCGGUGAAAUGCUUAGAUAUCACGAAGAACCCCGAUUGCGAAGGCAGCUGACGAGCCCUUUACUGACGCUAAAGCUCGAAGGUGCGGGUAUCGAACAGGAUUAGAUACCCUGGUAGUCCGCACGGUAAACGAUGGAUGCCCGCUGU
rnacentral:rRNA from 1 species